rnacentral:rRNA from 1 species
AUUGAACGCUGGCGGCAUGCCUUACACAUGCAAGUCGAAUGGCAGCACGGGAGCAAUCCUGGUGGCGAGUGGCGAACGGGUGAGUAAUAUAUCGGAACGUGCCCAGUAGUGGGGGAUAACUGCUCGAAAGAGCAGCUAAUACCGCAUACGACCUGAGGGUGAAAGGGGGGGAUCGCAAGACCUCUCGCUAUUGGAGCGGCCGAUAUCAGAUUAGCUAGUUGGUGGGGUAAAGGCCUACCAAGGCAACGAUCUGUAGUUGGUCUGAGAGGACGACCAGCCACACUGGGACUGAGACACGGCCCAGACUCCUACGGGAGGCAGCAGUGGGGAAUUUUGGACAAUGGGCGCAAGCCUGAUCCAGCAAUGCCGCGUGCAGGAAGAAGGCCUCGG